AGGGUUCGAUUCUGGCUCAGGAUGAACGCUGGCGGCGUGCUUAACACAUGCAAGUCGAACGGGAUCCAUCAGGCUUUGCUUGGUGGUGAGAGUGGCGAACGGGUGAGUAAUGCGUGACCGACCUGCCCCAUACACCGGAAUAGCUCCUGGAAACGGGUGGUAAUGCCGGAUGCUCCGACUCCUCGCAUGGGGUGUCGGGAAAGAUUAUAUCGGUAUGGGAUGGGGUCGCGUCCUAUCAGGUAGUCGGCGGGGUAACGGCCCACCGAGCCUACGACGGGUAGCCGGCCUGAGAGGGCGACCGGCCACAUUGGGACUGAGAUACGGCCCAGACUCCUACGGGAGGCAGCAGUGGGGAAUAUUGCACAAUGGGCGCAAGCCUGAUGCAGCGACGCCGCGUGCGGGAUGACGGCCUUCGGGUUGUAAACCGCUUUUGAUCGGGAGCAAGCCUUCGGGUGAGUGUACCUUUCGAAUAAGCACCGGCUAACUACGUGCCAGCAGCCGCGGUAAUACGUAGGGUGCAAGCGUUAUCCGGAAUUAUUGGGCGUAAAGGGCUCGUAGGCGGUUCGUCGCGUCCGGUGUGAAAGUCCAUCGCUUAACGGUGGAUCUGCGCCGGGUACGGGCGGGCUGGAGUGCGGUAGGGGAGACUGGAAUUCCCGGUGUAACGGUGGAAUGUGUAGAUAUCGGGAAGAACACCAAUGGCGAAGGCAGGUCUCUGGGCCGUUACUGACGCUGAGGAGCGAAAGCGUGGGGAGCGAACAGGAUUAGAUACCCUGGUAGUCCACGCCGUAAACGGUGGAUGCUGGAUGUGGGGCCCGUUCCACGGGUUCCGUGUCGGAGCUAACGCGUUAAGCAUCCCGCCUGGGGAGUACGGCCGCAAGGCUAAAACUCAAAGAAAUUGACGGGGGCCCGCACAAGCGGCGGAGCAUGCGGAUUAAUUCGAUGCAACGCGAAGAACCUUACCUGGGCUUGACAUGUUCCCGACAGCCGUAGAGAUAUGGCCUCCCUUCGGGGCGGGUUCACAGGUGGUGCAUGGUCGUCGUCAGCUCGUGUCGUGAGAUGUUGGGUUAAGUCCCGCAACGAGCGCAACCCUCGCCCUGUGUUGCCAGCACGUCAUGGUGGGAACUCACGGGGGACCGCCGGGGUCAACUCGGAGGAAGGUGGGGAUGACGUCAGAUCAUCAUGCCCCUUACGUCCAGGGCUUCACGCAUGCUACAAUGGCCGGUACAACGGGAUGCGACACGGCGACGUGGAGCGGAUCCCUGAAAACCGGUCUCAGUUCGGAUUGGAGUCUGCAACCCGACUCCAUGAAGGCGGAGUCGCUAGUAAUCGCGGAUCAGCAACGCCGCGGUGAAUGCGUUCCCGGGCCUUGUACACACCGCCCGUCAAGUCAUGAAAGUGGGUAGCACCCGAAGCCGGUGGCCUAACCCUUUGUGGAUGGAGCCGUCUAAGGUGAGACUCGUGAUUGGGACUAAGUCGUAACAAGGUAGCCGUACCGGAAGGUGCGGCUG
rnacentral:rRNA from 1 species